AUGCAACACGAAUUCCAGUUUCGACAGAGUGCUCGGCAAAAGCUUUCUGCGAUGCGAAAUUGGAUGCCAUUCUCCAACUCGCGACCGAAAAACUUUUCGAUGAACGAAUACGACAACGAUCUUAAUUUUCAAAUCUAAAUGUGUUCCAUAGCGAUGCCUGCUGAGCUACUUCUGGGGCAUAGUCCUCCAGUGUACAGCUCGCUUCUGUACAGUCCCUUGGUAGCACCGACGAUUGCCAGCAGAUCGGUGCCACC